AUCAGGGCUUUCAGUCAUCGUUUUCAGCUCCUCCAGGAUCCACACUGAGCCUCACACACCGCCCAGAGCAAAAGAACUGCACACUACACUUCUCAGCAGAACUCUUCCUUAUUCAUGAUUAUGGGCGGAGCUGUAGCAUCACUGCAAGUGUGUAAAGACUUCAGUGAAAGUGAAGCCAAACAGAUGAACAGGAAGCUUCAUCAAACAUCAUUUAAUUUCAGAAACUCCGAAAUCAAUGACCAGAUCUGAUCUUCACUCACAGCCAUGGCAUCCUCCAGCAGUCCAGCACUUGAUAAGGAGCUCCAGUGCCCCAUCUGUAUGCAAGCGUUCACUGAUCCAGUCACCACUCCAUGUGGACACAACUUCUGCAGAACCUGCCUGAGCAAGUGCUGGCCGAACUCAAGGACCUGCUCCUGUCCACUCUGUAACGGAAAAUUCAGCAAAAGACCUAAACUCAGUAUUAAUACAACACUCAGAGAUGUUGCGCAACACUUUAAGGAGAAGCCCAAUCUAGGAGGAUCUGAGGUGUUCUGCGACUUCUGUGAUGAAAGAAAGCAGAAAGCAGUGAAGACCUGCCUGACGUGUCAAAGCUCUUACUGUGAGACUCAUCUGAAGCCUCAUCUCAGUGUCCCAUGUCUGAAAAAACAUAAACUCAUCAACCCUGUGGGAAAUCUGGAGGAUUAUAUUUGCCAGAAACACAAGAGACCUCUGGGGCGGUUCUGUAGAGAUGAUCAGACGUGUGUUUGUCUGUCCUGCACUGAAAGAGAACACAGGGGACACAACACUGUUCCUGUAGAGGAGGAGAGUCGAGAGAAGAAGAAUCAGCUGGUUCAGACACAGACAGACAUUCAUCAGAUGAUCCAGGACAGAGAGAAGAAGAUUCAAGAGAUCCAGAACUCUGUAGAGCUGAGAAAGAGAAACACAGAGGAAGAGAAAUCCUCCAGGGUUGAGAUCUUCACUGACCUGAUCCGCUCCAUUGAGAGAUGUCAGUCUGAUCUGCUGAAGAUGAUGGAGGAACAGCAGAAAGCAGCAGAGAAACAGGCUGAAGAUCUCAUUAAAGAGAUAAAUCAGGAAAUCACUGAUCUGAAGAGGAGAAACACUGAGCUGGAGCAGCUCUCACACGCUGACGAUCAUCUCCAUCUCAUACAGAUGAGCAAAUCCCUGGACACUCGUCCACACACCAAGAACUGGACUGAGAUCAGGAUUGACUCUGAUGUGAAUGUGAACUCUCUGUAUAAAGCUCUGACUGAACUGAAGAAAACUCUAGAUGAGACUCUACAUGAAAAACUCAGUCAAACUGGGUUGGAGUUUGUGCAGAACUUUGCAGUGGAUGUGACUCUGGAUCCUGAUACAGCGAAUCCACGUCUCAUCCUGUCUGAUGAUGGAAAACAAGUCAAUCAUGGAGACAUUUGGCAGUACGUCCCAGAAAACCCAAAGAGAUUUGAUAAGAGUGUUUGUGUUCUGGCAAAGCAGGGAUUCAGUUCAGGGAGAUUUUACUAUGAGGUGCAGGUGAAGGGAAAGACUGAGUGGGAUUUAGGAGUGGCCAGAGAAUCCAUUAACAGGAAGGAGGCGAUCAAACUGAGUCCUGAGGAUGGAUUCUGGACUGUGGUUCUGAGGAAUGAGAAUCAAUAUUAUGUUUGUGAAAAUCCACCUGUCUCUUUAUCUCUGAGAGUGAGACCUGAGAAGAUUGGUGUGUUUGUGGAUUGUGAGGAGGGUCUGGUCUCUUUUUAUGACGUGGAGUCCAGAUCUCAUCUCUACUCUUUCACUGGUCAGACUUUCACUGACAAACUCUAUCCGUAUUUCAGCCCGUGCCUUAAAAAUAAAGGUGAAAACUCAAACCCACUGAUCAUCACUACUGUCAGAUGAAACGAACUAAAUAACAUAAACUCUCAAAAGAUUAACUAUGGAUGUGCUGUUUAAAGAAUAUCUAAAUAAAAAACAAAAAUAUUUGCACUAAGCACAAUUAAUAAGUUUUACAUUGUAACUAUUAAGAAAAUUAAUAUGUGAUACAAGCGGACAAAAUAAAUGUAUUCAGUCCCUUAAAAAUCAACUAUAAUGAAAUAUUUGUGUGUAAUAUACACACGUGUAAAUGGCUAAUUUGUUACACAUCUAUAUAUUUCUUUUGUCUUACAUGUCAUUAAUACUUCACUUGUCAAAUCUACUUAAAUUUGACAUAAUAUGCUUUUUAAAUUACAUGGUGAAGUUCUACAAAAUGCAAAAUUUACAAACUUUCCAGUGUUUCCACAAAAAUUUCUGAAGCCAUUUUCUCUCUCUUCUCUCCAGCUGUUAACAUUGAAUUACUUGUGAAAUGUGUUUCUGUUAACACAUUACGAUUUAUAUCCACAUAUAGAACAGAUUUAUUAACAUACUUGUUUUAAAUGCUUACAAAUAAGCAGAAAUACCGUAGUAAACCUGCUGUCAUCAGAAACACACAACAGGACUAACAUGUCACAUCACACCAUCGAUAAAAGGAAAAACAAAGAGAAAUGCAUCGUGCAUAUAGAAAAUGAAUCAUACUUUAGGACUAUUACUGUAAUUCAAAAAAUAGUUUAGAGACACGAGAUGGCACAAAUCUGUUUCCCAGUGUUCCCAUUUACAUGCAUUGUUACUUUUGUUUUACAAUCUGAUGGAUAAGUCAAAUCAUAACCAUAAAGUAUAAAUUAUAUUUACAUUUACCCAGAAUACAACUUUAACAAAUUUACAAUAAGGUAUGAAUGUAGUUAACUGAACUUGAAUUAUUUUUAUUUGGAAAUUAUAUAGGCCUAGUGGGAUGCCAGUAAUGACCAAUGAAUGUGUUUUUGAAAAAAGCUGUACUUAUUUUAUUUAGAAAUAGCACUCAAUAAAAACUAGAAUCUGAGAUCUUAAACUCA